UAUAAACACAUCACUGCGUAUUUAUGAUACCAAUUUUGUUUUUGUAGUAUAGUGGCCUGCACAUCAUUCAGUAUGUGUGUGAGUAUCUACAAUACACGUGUACACUUACAUAAAUAUAUGCAUGCAUGUAUGUGCGCGCGCACAUACACACACACACACACACACAUAUUUUCAGUUUUUGUAAAAAAACAGCAUUUGUAAUAUUAUUCCCAUUUGAAGAUAUGGGUGUAAAUACCGGCUAAAAUUCACAAAGCUUCAACAGCACACAUGCACACACACACACACACACACACACACACACACACAAGGUUUUCCUUUUCAGUAUAUGUGGCUGUCCGCCUGUAUGUGUUUGUAUUUAUAUACCCAGACCUGAGGGAUGAACAACAAAGUUGGUCCCUCUGAGAUUUGAAAUCAGAAUGGUAAAGUGGCGCCAAACUAAAUAAGUCAAGACACAGUGCAUGACAUACAGGAUGACAUUACUGUGUCCUUCCUUUAUUGUGAUAAUUCAAGGGAGAACUAGAUACUACUACUACUACUGUUACAGUCACCACAACACACCCACCCAGAGACUCCUUUGUUGGUUCAUGUUAAUAAAGUCAACACAGACGCCAGCAUCUAAAUGAAAAACUACAAACUCUUUCAACAGAUGCUCAAGUUUCCAACCAUUUCAAAGACAGGGAGCACUAAGCUGUAAGAAACACCAAGUUCCAUACUAUCUUUUCAAAGGAUCUACCAUUUCCCAGGCAAUUUGCAAAAAUGUCAGAAGAAAAAUAAAAUUUAUAAGUCAACAAAUCAUUUUGGUUUUAGAUGUCUGUUUGCAGAUUUUAGAAUUUCUUGCAUGUCACAGAAUGUUGUGUGGCACAAAGUAAUGGGAAUAUUCUCUAGAAAGCUUUUUCUUUGAAUCCAUUUUAGUGCUCUCUAUCACUAAUGGAUCCAAAUAAAUAAACACAGGGUGACUCAGUGAAUCAGUGAACCCAGAAAACUGGUCUAACAAUCAGCUGCAUUUGAGACAAGUCAAAGCCAAUAUCUUCAGCUCUGAACCAGUCCUCCUCUGUCAUAAAGGAAUGUUCCAAUUGAGCUGCCUUUCAGAAAUUAGAUGGCAGCAAACAUUAAUGCUAUUUUAGUGUCAAACUUUUCUGUGUCUUCAAUAAAUUGAUAUAAGUGUGAAAUCAUGCACCACACACCGAGACAACAAGACUGGUUUUAAGGAACACAAAUAUGCAUCAGUAAAUAGGUUCAGACAUAUAUGCACAUUACAUACAUGCAUACAUAUAUAAAGCGAUAAGAGAGAGAGAGAGAGAGAGAGAGAGAGAGAUGCCAUUAUAUGCAUAACAUUAAAGACAAGCAAAAGGUUAUAAUAAUAAAUAAAUAAUAAAUAAAUCUAUGCACUCACAAAUACUAUAACAUAAA